UCCGCACUGGUGUAUCGGUAACAUUUCCGCCUCUCAGAGCUCGUCUCAAGUUCGCGGUAGCGCAGGGUUCGACUCCCUGGUGCGGAA